AAAGAAAGUUUAGGUAAGGGGAGAGAAGGUAUAAAGAUCUUGAGAGAGAAAGUUCAAAGUUCUUGUGAAAAUUAAGAACUCAUCUUCCACAUCAAAACUGUUCAAGAAGAUUUCUGCAACAAUGAAUAUGGAGCUUAUUUUCCUGCUAGUUUGUCAUCCAUGGUCUCGUCUUCUAUUUUUUAUUGGAACCAACUUCUGAGAAUGGAAAGAGAAAUUUGAGUUGAUAUUGAGAGUACUAUACUUGGAUUUGGCAUCACGCGAAGAUGAACCAAAUCCACUAACAGAGGAAAGUACCGAUGAAAAGAAAAAUAUAAGAAUUGGGAAAAAGCGAAUAGACUGAGUAUUAUGUUCUUAAGGAUGACAAUAGCUAGCAACAUCAAAUCUUCCCUUCCACCUACAGAAAAAGCGAAAGCUUAUGUAUCAGCUAUAAAUGAAAUGUCAGAGUACAAGACAGGAACCAUCCAAUAUCCCCGAACCGAACAUACAAAUAUGCCGUCGAAACCAUGUGUUUAUGUGGGUAGAUAAAACAAAUCUCGAAGAAUUGAAAAUUUUAACUGAAAAACAAUCUCUGAUGAAGAAGACUUGAUGGACAUGAAACAAGAAUUUCUUGAUAUGAAAAGACAUAAGUGUAGAUAAUUAUCGUACUACAGAGUAUUUCAAAGUUUUAGAAUUGAAACUGUUUGUUUUUAGUUUGUUUUUGA